UUUUCAUGGACUAUGAUGUCCAACCAACCAUAGAUUAUUUCAACUGGUAUGUAUCCCCGUCUUCAGCAUCUAUUCUAUACAGAUUCAUGUGAAGCGCACAGUUACACAUAUUGAAGUGAAUGACUGAAUCAAUGUUUUUUUAUUUUGUGUUAGGCUCGGCUCAAACCCAGAGAUUGCUAAGCAAGUUAGUGCAGACGUCGUCACCAAGUGUGAGACACUGACUAUAGCAGAUAUAUUCUCUUACAUGAAGCAAGAAUUUGCAAAGGUAAAAAUAAAGCUAAAUACUUCUUACUCAGUUUGAAACACUAAGAUUUGUAUAUCAAAUGCUUAUAAACUGUUGUAGGAUGCCUUUUUUGAGUGCACGGCUACGAAUGAUGUUGUUCAUGGCUCUGCUUGGUACUAUAUUGCAUACAGUGGGUGCCAUGCUAAGGCUACCAAAGGCGCAACAUCGUUGGUUUGUAAAAACACGAAAUGUGAGAAGGUUAACACAGCUGGUGUUUGUGGAAACCGAAAUUCACACCGUCGAGUUUUGUUAAUCGGAGGAAAGCCAAGUUAACCUAGCCUUCCCUGAAGGUCCCGGUUAUCUGCUGGGCCACACACGACACGAUCAAUAUCAAAGAAUAAAAUGAAAAUAAGUAGAAAAAGAGAAUAAGAGGAUCUUAUUUCCGAAUUCGGGUUUGAGCGUGAACAACAAGUAAAGACCUAGGCUACAAGAGCUGUCGGUACGUUCGCUAGUCUAGCGACCUAAAUCUAAACUAGUUGAGUCGCAACUCGAUUAGUAAAAGCGGAAAAAGAUGCCUAAAUUGCUCUAAGUGCUAAGUUGCUCUGAUGUGCCCUGAUCUCCCUUCCCUCUUCGUCCUAGGUCCUGCUUAUAUACUCCUCCUUAGGUCAGUUUACCUCUUCUUGGGCCGGAUUUGUCGCGAAGCGGGCUUUUCCAUAUUUCCUUCUUCUUUGUGAUUAUCUUCGAAAAUUUGACAUUUAUCUUUUCCCGCGGAUGAGAUAAACCGUCAUACCAGUCUUCGGGCUCAAGUCUUUUGGGACCAUAGAUGGGCCGUUGUCUGCAAUUUGGACCCUCUUUGCGCCGUAUCGAGACUUAAGCAUUUUUACGAUUUUACUCGCGAAGUAGCCGUUGGUAUAGGCAUGGUUCUUCCAACGGAACCCUGUUUCUUCGCAUAGCCGAGGCAUUUGGUGUUAAGUUAACUGUAACCUGCUCUACUACGAAGAAUAAGAAACCGUUCGAGAGACAUAACCUUCCCAACUUCCCGAAUACUUUCGACGAUGUUUUUCAGACGGAACAUUGGUGUCGUAUCCACGGACCCGAAGACUGAGUUACGGAAACUUCGGACGAAGAUGCAUGGUUAUGGGAUGGGACCGGGUUCCGAAUGGUCCACGGAGAAUUGGCCGCGCUUGCCGGGCGAGCUGAUCCGUGCCACGAUCGAGCUCGCCGGCGAGCCAACCGGCAACACGGUCGUACUCGCCGGGCGAGCUGGCUCGUGUCACGGCCGAGCUCGCCGGCGAGUCGACCGGCAACACGGUCGUGCUCGCCGGGCGAGCUGGCUCGUGUCGCGGCCGAGCUCGCCGGCGAGUCAACCGGCAACACGGUCGUGCUCGCCGGGCGAGCUGGCUCGUGUCAUGGUCGAGCUCACCGGCGAGUCGACCGGCAACACGAUCGUGCUCGCCGGCAAGUCGACCGGCAACAAGGUCGUGCCCGCCGGGCGAGCUGGCUCGUGUCAUGGUCGAGCUCGCCGGGCGAUCCGUUUCGGCUAUUCGUUUUCCCGGCUUUCGAAGUUUUGACCGAGAUUCGGUUUUUCUAAGGACUUUCGGACAUCGAUUCCGUCGUGGCCGAUUUUGAUCCCAACAGUGUUCCUCAGUAUGUUCUCUCGCCUGAACACUUAAUUACUCUUUAUCUGGUAUUUGCUUCUGCUUAUUAUAUUGGUGACGUUUCCUUCUGAUUCUUUCUUAACAGGUACCGUGUAAAGAUAUCUGUUUAUGACAACAGUGGCCAAACUGUUUUUGUCCUACUUGGUGAUGCUGGCUGUGUGUUGACCGGGAGGCACACAUCGGAGUUAGUUAGCAGCUACUUUGAGGUAAAUAUUCAUCAGUUUAUGCUCUCAGAUAAUUUCAUCUCACACUGUUGUUCUUAAAUGAUAGGCUAAUGAGAACGAAGGAGCUGACCAUGAGGUGCCUGUCCCGGAAGCUCUAAUCAGCACCAUCGGACAGACACAUAAGUUUUGUGUGAAAGUUACAGAGCAUAACUUCUCUGGCAAUACCCGAGCUAUAACUGUCACCAAGAUCGUCUCUCUAGACACACCACCACCCACAGAAGCCUCUAUUGAAAACAACAUUGCUGACACGUCCGAGGAGACAGUGCAGACUGGGAAUGAAGUGUGUGAGCCUUCCAAAAGCCGUGGUGAUUCUGCAGAUGAGGAGAGUAAGAGGACGUUUGACAGUGUUAAUCCAGAGAAAGACAAACGCCCAAGAUGUGAGAAUUAAGCUUCGGUUCAUGGAUGUUUAAGUCUUUGCUUUAUAGUUCAAGUAUUGACUUGUUUUUUUUUAAGUUUGCUGCAGUUUAAGUACUAUUUUGGUUUAUAUAAAGACAAUGCGUUGUUUCUUUCCAUUUCAGAAUUUGUCUUUUUAAUCAUUUGAACUAUCUUUCUUAUAAUCACUUCUGUCUAUACUUAUGUUUACUGAUUACUUUCUUUAAAUCUGCUUGACCAAUCGGGUUGUUUGCUAUACUUUGUCUUUUAAUCAAUUGAACUAUCUUUUGGUUUUGUUUGCAAAAAAAUUCAAAGAAGAGAUAAGUGUUUGAUUGAAUAAUGAAUGGGCCUCGCUUUUUUAUUUUAAUUAUUGUAUCUCAAGUUCAACGUAUUACUGUGUAAAUUAAACCCCAUAUUUGAAAAUGAUAUGCAUGCAGCAUGAGCGCAUACCUUAAUUAUUGUUUAUUGUUUAUUGUUUGCUGUUACUUAUAUAUAAUAAGGUUUCGCAAUGGCCUGAAACAACUCAUCAACCUCUGAACAAUGGCGACCAUUCCCUCUCACAACCAUCUUCUCCCUAAGCCGACCAUCUAAUCAGCUCACUCUCUUUCCUUCAAACCAUAAUUUGCCGGAGGAUGUUCGCCGGCGAUAUAAAGAAGCUAAAGAAUCAAAGAAUUUGAAAGACAUGUGUAGAAAGACAAAGAGUUUAAAAAAUGCCCGACUCACAAAAUCUUCCAAGAUUACAUGAUUACAAAUUUGGAACCAUACCCGUACUCACGUGUUGUUUUCUACCGUCAGGAAUAAGUUGGUUGUGAGGAUCGCUGUUUCAACGGAAUGGAUAACCCACCUAAUGAUCAACCCAUCGAAGCUUCAGCCGGUCAGACGUACAAAAGGAAACGAGGACGUACCCAUGGAUCACGUACAAAAUCAAAAGGUAUUCCUGAGUCUCGAACACAUUUAAUUUUCAAAUUCAAAAGUUCUGUUGGAUAUUACUAAAAUGGUGUAUAUUUUCAGUUCAUCUGAUCAAUAAUCGACCAACAUUCAAACCAAAAUUCUUUGACUGUAAAUUUAUAUGGAAUAUAAUACCAUACUUUUACAAAACUUACUCAUUAAACUAACUGAGUUUUAUAUUUAAUCAAAUAGGUAGAUGUGAUGAUUGUGUCUCAUAUAGUACGUAACAAUACUCCAUUAUCUACCCCCUAAGUUAUACUCCCAAAGUUCGUACACUGAUAAAGCUAUACUCACAUCCCGAAAUGAUACUGACGAUGAAAUCAAUGCAUAUACAAUCUCCAAAACCGACGGGGAGUCGAGAGACUACUACAGCUACGAUAGCUUCGAGGUUUCAGAAACUCAGUCUGAUCAAAACGAUACAUUAUAUGCGAUUGAGUAACUCACUCUCAAAGUUGGGGCCCCAAUUAUGUUUCUGCGAAACAUAAAUUAACAAAAAGGAUUAUGUAAUGGUACCCGUUUGAUCCUAACCCACAUAGGCGAAAGAGUGCUUAAGGCAGGCAUAAUCACUGGAUCACACAUUGGAGACGAAGUUUUAAUCCCAAGAAUUGUUCUCUUGCAUGAUGAAACAAAGCUGCCGUUCACUUUACGUCGACGACAAUUCCCUAUCAGAUUGUGUUAUGCAAUGACAAUCAACAAAAGCCAGGGGCAAAGCUUAAAAGAGGUUAUCCUAUAUCUACCUAGACCGGUCUUCACACAUGGUCAACUCUAUGUGGCCCUCUCACGUAUAACAAGCAAAGCAGGAUUAAAAAUCAUCAAAAGCGAAGAUUCACACCCACGGAAGUAUUCUAGCUAUCAACAGAAAUGAAUCAAAGUUAAAACUCCUUCCCUGAUGAUAUAUAUCUCACUACUUUCAAGCUCUCCAACUCAAGAAAUACCAUCACAUCUACACGCCCUUUUCGUCAAAAAGUUCCACCAUCUUAUUUAUGAUUUCCGCUUCUCUGUUUUAAGACUUUUACAUCUGCUCUUAAUAAUAAUACUGACUUUCCUCUGAUUCUAAACAUGGUUUAUAACAAAUUUUAUUUUUAAAACUGAUCUACUGUACUCUGGACAACCAAAAAAGUUAGCCAAAACAAACAAAAAACAGCUCAAACAUCGUCAUAUACGCAUUGGAAUUUAAAUAUAUAUAAGCUAACUCCAAAUUAUCGGAGAUUAUCAUCUAAAAUCAAAUUAUUUUAACGCAUUUUCCGCGCGUAGCCCGGACAACGACUCUAGUUAGAGUAAAGACAUA